rnacentral:rRNA from 1 species
UCAGGAUGAACGCUGGCGGCGUGCUUAACACAUGCAAGUCGAACGAAGCAGUUUAUUACGAUCCCUUCGGGGUGACGAUUUACUGACUGAGUGGCGGACGGGUGAGUAACGCGUGGGUAACCUGCCUUGUACAGGGGGACAACAGUUGGAAACGACUGCUAAUACCGCAUAAGCGCACGAUGUCGCAUGACACAGUGUGAAAAGAUUUAUCGGUACAAGAUGGACCCGCGUCUGAUUAGCUAGUUGGUGAGGUAACGGCCCACCAAGGCGACGAUCAGUAGCCGACCUGAGAGGGUGACCGGCCACAUUGGGACUGAGACACGGCCCAAACUCCUACGGGAGGCAGCAGUGGGGAAUAUUGCACAAUGGGCGAAAGCCUGAUGCAGCGACGCCGCGUGAGCGAAGAAGUAUUUCGGUAUGUAAAGCUCUAUCAGCAGGGAAGAUAAUGACGGUACCUGACUAAGAAGCACCGGCUAAAUACGUGCCAGCAGCCGCGGUAAUACGUAUGGUGCAAGCGUUAUCCGGAUUUACUGGGUGUAAAGGGAGCGUAGGCGGUUUUACAAGUCUGAUGUGAAAGCCCGCAGCUCAACUGCGGUAUUGCAUUGGAAACUGUAGAACUAGAGUGUCGGAGGGGUAAGUGGAAUUCCUAGUGUAGCGGUGAAAUGCGUAGAUAUUAGGAGGAACACCAGUGGCGAAGGCGGCUUACUGGACGA